UUGAAUGGAGGAAUGUGUCAUAGCGCGAAAGCACUUGGAAUCACUCUUGCUGUAAUUGCGUAAAAGCCGCAUAGCAUUCGGAGGACCGUGAAAAAUACGAGUUAGUGAGUUUUCCAGUUGAAGAUAGAAGUGGAGGAUAGGUGAGAGUUAGUUUUUAUAUUGUCCUUUCUUAUCAUGGAAGUUCUUUUGAUGGAUAGCAGAAGUAGUCAGACAUGAAUACUAUCCAAGGUUAGUGCUUUUUUAACUUACCGAUUUAUAUCAUGGAUGCAGUGUCAUUUGCUCUAUGGCCUUUCACGUGGCAACUAUCUUGAGCUAACGAUAGUUUUGAGUUUAACAUUCUUUUAGCAGCAUGGUGCUCGUAGUUACUUUAUAAUUGUGCAUGAUAUUGUAAAUAGUUAAGUUCAAGUUGCUGAUUUCCUAUGGCAUCUCAAGCUAAAAAUUCUAUAUCUUGUAGUCUAUUUUUGUUGCAUAAAGAUGUUAUACCUAGCUUUUUAAAUUAUUUUUCGAACUACAUUCUUUAGGCACUUCCCUGUUGGAACUCUAGAGAAGGAAUUUUUUUAACGGUAAGAAAAGCAAGAUGACAAAAAUCAUAGAUCCUCAUAGAAGACAUUUUAGAAAAUACUUGCCCUAAAAAAAAUAAGUAAUUAAUUUUCAACAUUGAUAAUAGCCGUUUGGUAGAUUAUUUUUGCCCUUUGGCAUUGGCAAUUUUGUCAAAUAUUGUAUCUAUUGAAGCUUAUAAUUCCUUAUGCUUACCGAUAUUUCGAUGCAGAUAUUUUAGUUUCAGAUUCCAAAUUCAAUAACAUGAUUUUGAUACAAUGAAGCUCACUUAUGAGACUCAACAUUUGAGCUGAUGUGAGAGGAAAACAUAGAAUAGCCCUGAAACUAAAACAGAAGCAAAGCUUGAUAAAGAGAAGAUUGAAAUACCUGUUGAAGAAGAGGAGACCAUUGAAUUGCCACCUGAAGAUUGAUCUUUUCACAGGGCAAUGGUUUUAUGACAACGUCACUCACCAAAUUAACAAAGAACGUCAGCACAUGUUACUUGCAUGACGUUGAAGACUCUUCAUGUACCAAAAUUGGAGGUGACAACCCAUAGACUAUUCAAGUAUGAGAGUCAUUUUUGAAUUCUUGAUUAUUCAAUCUUAACAUGUAUUGCAUAUAUGUAUGCAUGUAAAGGUGAAUGAAUAGACUACUUGGUUUGAUUUUUUAAUAAAAGGUGGAGUCAGGUUUAAUUGGUUAGAUGCAAUUUUCAAUAUUAUGUAAGUUGUACCUUUGGCUUGUGAGUAGGGGAUAAGACGUGAACUUAAAGUCCAGAUUGCAUCUUGAGGCUGUUUGUUUGGUAUUUUUGUUUAUGAGCUAUCUCAGGACCAUGAAUUUGUAAAUUA